CAAUAACGGCUCAUAGGGGUCCAGCGGUAGUAAAAUGGAAAGCCCAAGCAAUUGGUCAAUGAUUGAGAAACGUCCAUUUAAAAUUCAAUUUCUCCAUACAAAUGUGAGAAAAGUCCGAAGCAAAAAAGGUUAGAUAGUAUGCCAUGUUUAACUUGAAAUUCAAAAUAAGGUCAUCAAUUACACACGAUAGAUCUAUGCGGUUGAAUCGAAUCAAAAGCUUAACAAAUUUGCCUUUUCAUAUAACAUCCAAACAAAAUAACAGGGGCGUGUAUACAUACCCGAUUGAGUUGAGACAACAAAAUUGAGAGCCUAAUCCAUCCGAAAAUAGCCAGCUCCUCUAAUUGGAAUCAAACAAACAAUCAAUGCCCAAAUGAAAACGAGAAUGCAACUGUAAGGCUCAGCAGCAUCAAAUCAAGCAGCGAGAGCAGAAUCAAAUGACCACGAAUCGCAGCGAAAUCUCGAACGAGCCUAGACUUCUUGCAGGGAAUUAAGAUCCGAUUGGAGCUGGUUCAAGGACUGAUUUACUGCUGAGUGUUUUUGAACUAUUUAAAUGAUUUUAGUGGGAAAAUUGGACCCUUUUGUGGAGAAAAUGUUGUUGCGUCUUUUUUCAGAGGAGAGCCUUCUGCAAAUUUUUCGCGUGUAUUCUUGUAGAGGAGCGGAUCUGCCCGUUUUUGCCAGGGGUAGGGUCACACAUUUGGCGUGUUUGUAAGGGGGAAGGAAUUUGGAUCGGGUAUGGGUGCAAUUUGGGCUGGGCGUAAAUCUGUUUUGCGCCAGGAAAUUUUGAUUAAAAAAUCAGCCCAAAAUUGGUCUUUUGCAAGACCAACUCUUUUCAAAGCUUUUCUUUUUAUUUCUUUAUUUUUGUUUGCUUUUCCAAUUUGUAUUUUUUGUAUUAUUCUUUCUGAUUUUAUAAAGGUGCAAAAAUUAAAAUAGAGUCUUAAUGUAUUUCAAAGCUAAACUAAUUAACUCCUAAAAUUAUUUAAAACCUAUUUCAUGAUAAAUUCACAAUUAAAACAAUUAAAAUGCAAAAAUGAACAAUUUUUGUUAUUUUUCAUAUUUGAUUCUAAAACAAAUUAACCCCUAAUUAAUGCUAAAAAUGAAAUUAGAUCCUAAAUUCAAAUUCAUAUUUUUGUAUUUUUUAUAUGAAUUAAAAUGCACAAAUAAAAUGCAACAAUUACCGAAAAAUGACACAAAAAUUCACAAAAAUUGUAAAAACAAGGGGAAAAAAUCAUUUUGUUUGAAUUUUUUUUGGAAUUCAUUCACAUAUAGGGCAAAAAUCACGUGCUCACAACCAAGAGGGGUGACGGUUUUUUUUCCUCUACUGCAUUUCUCUUGUAUAAUCCGUCCUUGGUUGAAGCUUGGACCAGUAGGGUUUUUCUAUGGUUGUGGGGUGGAUAAGGAUUUUUUGGAGUUGGAGCACGCCAUUAUGGGUAAGGAGGGGGUUGAGCAUAUGACUGUGCAUGGUGAACAUGAUACUGGGGUAGUCUGACAGAGUAUUGAGGGUCUUGUAGUGGGAAAUAAUGUUGGGGUUGAUUGUAUGGAGCUUGAGUGUGGGCUUGAGGUUGGGGCCAGGGAUGAGUGUACUGGUGAGGCAAAAUCCUCGAUCCAUGCCAUGGUUCAGAGACAACCAUAGCGACAUCUUCCUUCUUCUUUUUGCCCUGCAAACUUCCUGUGCCACUUUGAAUUGCAUGUGUAAUUGCUUUUACGGAAAAAUAGCUCAUAAUCUUGCUUGACUUGAGUCCCUCUUCCACCAUUCCUCCCAUCUUUACCACAUCAUUGAAGGACUUACAUAUGGCUGAGAUCAAAUGGCCAAAGUAAAUAGACUCUAAGGCUUGAAAAAAGUACCCGACCAUCUCGUCUUCUUGCAUCAGAGGAUUGACUCGUAUCACUUGCUCUCUCCAUCUGAACCUGUUUUCCCUAAAGCUUUCAUUGGGAUUCUUUUCUACCUUGGUAAGGGAUAGGCGAUCGAGGAUAAUGACUAUGUUGUACUGAAAGUGCCGAGAAAAAGUCUGAGCCAAAUCAUCCCAUGUGUACCACCUGCUAGUAUCUUGGCGGGUGUAUCACUCCAAAGCCUCCCCAUUCAUACUCUGAUUGAAAUACGCCAUCAAUAAUUCUUCUUUCCCACCGCCGCCUCUCAUCUUGUUGCAAACACCUCUCAAAUUGGCCACGGCAUCUCUGUGUCAAUCGUACAGGUCUAACUUGGGCAUCUUGAAACCAACGGUCAAUUGGACGUCUUCGAACAAGCACAAGUCAUUGUAAGCCACACUUACUUGACUUCAUAUCCCUUGCAUAUUCUUCAAACAUUUCUCUAAACUCUUCACUUUCAUGAAUAUCUCAUCUUGCUCCACGUUCUUGGAUGGUUUCUCGGUUUCAACAAGUGGCUCAAAGUGAGGGGUGUAGGGAUAAGAAUCCGGGACCUUGAAGGUUGGUUCUAGGGCAUAUAGGCGGGCAUCUAGAGCUUGGAAUACGGGUUCUAUAGAGGAUCGGUGGAGGGUAUCUUGUGAAGGAGCUACAAAAAUAGGAACAAACAUCGGAGUACGGUAUGAGGUUGUUUUGACUGGUGGAGCAUGGAAAAUUUGGGAUGAGAUACAUGGGUAAUUGUGGUAAGGGGUAAAGCACGGUACAUGUUAAGGGGAAGAUCAAUGGUAAUGAGAACCUGGGCUUGUGGCAGUGGUGGAAUGAAAGCAUGGUUUUCUGUAUAGUUAGCAGGGAAUGAAGGUGGAGGAUGUCCCAUAAUCCAGGCCUGACAUAUUUUCACCAUUUGAUGCUUCAACCUAUGGACCUCCUUUUUCAAACCAGAGACUCAUUUUACAAUCUCCGUCGGCGGGUCAACAACACAUGUGCCCGAUACUUUGCUAGUCAUAGCUGACUUGCGCUUCGACCUAGUGUUAUAUGGAUGACUUGCCAGAAUGCCAACAAACUAACCACCUACACAGAACCUGGCUCAAUGCACAUCCAAUACAUUGGUUAGUUUUGAGACGCUUAACCGAUAGGAAAUCGCACGUUAGGAUGCAAUGCACCUAAACAGUUAAACGCUUUUACCAUAUGUUUGAACGGCUGGAUGUUUCAUCCAAGCUUUAUCUAACCCUUUUUCACUCUGUACCUUUUCAUUCCCUUCCGCCUUCCUUUUAAUCACUCUUGAUUUUCUCUUCUUUUUUUUGUCACUCUUUUAUUUUUUUUGCACUCUCUUUUUCUCUUUUGGUUUUUUCCCAUUUUUCUUUUUAUUUUCACUCAAUUUUCUUUUCUCUUUUUUUAAUGUUAUGGCUAUGAUCGAAUCUUAUGGAGAUUUCCUACAUAUCAUGACACCACAUGAAUCAGAUCAUUGCAUAGUUCAGAGAUAUAAAUGCAAAAUGAAAGACAAGAAUAUUUUUGGGGUUUUCAAAAUUUCAUUAAUAAAAGACACCUUUUUGGAUUUUUCUAUUACACAGACUCGGAAGUACUGAUGGCUAAAAAUAAACAUACAGACUUGAAACAAAACCAUAAACAUGCUCGAAAGGACAAAAUAGACUCAAAAUAAAUAAAGUACAUACUCAAAAAUCGAAAAUCAUGAAAUACAUAAGAGCCUCGAAUGCUACUUCAGGGGCUCGCGGGACAUUAGUCGGUCUCAACGCGGACCUGCGUUCAUUCUCUUAUUAAAGGUGAUCCAGAUCAGCCAUUACCUGGAGGAAAAAUGUCAUCAUGAAAGAAAAAACAUGGAUCUAGUCAUAUCCUCACAUUCAUGGCACUUCAUUGUAACAUAACAAGCUAUUUCUUUGUUUCUCAUUCUGAUGAUACCCUUUUCUUGAAGCAAACGCCGAUUUGUUAUGCACGAGAUUCCAACACCUACGUGGCUGUGUCAUUUUGGUCUUGCAGCUUUUGAAUGCUUGCUUCUAAUUGGUAAAUCAAAGCAUAACAAUGUUCUCUCAAUAUUUUGAAGUAUUUUGUUUGCUGAACUAUCUCAAUUUUUAGGGUAGUCAGUUUUUCCUUUAAGAACUUGACUCAUUUAUCAUAUUUUUUCUUCAACCCUUGAGCAAACCCUAUCCAUUCUUCCGCACCUUUUUCCAACUAUGCUCGAGAAUUUGCCAAGUCUUCCUCGGCCUUUGUCAAAUCAGCCCCAAAAUCACACAUUUCCUGCCUCAUAUUGGUUAUGAGUCUUUCAUCUUUUUCGCUUUUUACCGGGGUCUCAAUGGCUAUUUUCAUCUUUCAGAUCUGAGCUAUGAGGGAUUUAUUUUCCCGAGCCAACCUCUUCUUUUCUCCUUUAGCCUCAUCAGCCUGCAAACUACCAUCAAAUUUGAUGUUCCUGAUUUAAUCUUCUAGCAUACUUAUGGUGGCCUAGUAUUGGUUCUCUUUAGCUAACCAAGCCAAAUGUUCAUGUGAUGCAUCGACAAAUUCUUGGAUAUAGGGACUUUUGGUCGGCCUUUCAGAUUCUUCAUUUGUCGCGACUCUCUUUCCAUACCAAGCAACAUAACCAGGCAAAACGUCGCCCUUGGAAAAAUCACAUACUCGGGUGUUUGCUCCCAAAUAUUGGCAUUUGCUCCAAAUUUGGCGAACCAUUUAGUCAAGAAAUUGGGCAUCGGAAUGCACUUCAACCGCAUGAAUACUAAGAUCUUCAUAUCUGGGAACUAUCUAGCAUCUUCCAUGUUAUCUCAAAAUUCGGUAUAGGGCUAGGGAUUGAUGCUUCAGGGACCCAUUAGAAGGGAGUAGGGGCCAGUGGCAGGCAUAUAAAUGAUCUCAUUAACAAGAGCCAGCCCAAUGUCCAUUCUAUCUUAUCUCCGCUUAUGGAACGGAGGUGGAUGAUCCAAUCUUUGACCUUUUCUAGCAUUUUGUAUCCGGUCACUCGUGCCCCAAACUCUUCGAUGCAAUUUUUCCUUGUAGAACCAUAUUUUAUGUAGCAGGAUUAGUGACAAAGGCCCUCGAUCAUCCACAUUCAAGAGAUUGCACCCCUCAAAAAAUCUGACCCCGGCCUUACAUGAUGUAAGGGCUCAGAAUAUAUCUGAUACAAUCAUGGGCGCGAGGGUACUCUUAGCCUGAGUAGUCAAAACAUGGGAAACUCCGGCUACACGUAAAUCAAUGCACCUGUCCUUCCUUGGAAAUACCAAAAGGCAUGAGAAUGCCACUAUGAAGGCAAAGCAUCUAUGUAUUUUCCACUUUGAUCGGUUUCCUUUAUUGUAGAGUCCAUUUUAUGGGUCUUCAGAUCCACUUAAAUGCCUGUAUCGUUGGUAUAGAAAGUGUAAAAUGGAAGUUCCACGUGCUAGAUUUUCAGUCUUGAUUUGCCUGUUUAUUUUCAGUAAGUCUAGAAAUUUGUGGGGAGUAACAGUCUUGGAGAUACCAGGUACUUGUGUCUUAAUCCUUCCAUACUCCCGGCAUUGCCCACGAUUUCUCUCAAAGUAGGUAUAAACUCAAAAUCUGAGAAGUGCAAGAAAUUAUGAGUGGGGUCCCAAAAUGACUCUAAUGCCUCUAUCAGAUUACUUCUAGGUUUAAUAUUCAAUAGUCCAGUGAGUUACCCCAAAUAUUGGCUGACCCUGUCUCAUUCUUGUUUUUCCAAAUCCUUCAACCUGUGGAGUGCUAGUGGAAUAUGAUAGAUAACCUUCACAGAUAAAUUCCGAACAAUGCUCAUUCUGCACAUUUUAAAUUAGGGUAACCAGCUGAAAACAUGUGAAUUAUGUUUAAAAACUGACCAUGAAAAGAUUAUUUUUGCAAAAUCCAACUGAAAACAAAUCACUUCGGAAGGGAAGAUUUUUGAGUUGUGUUUGCUAAGUGGUCAAAUUUGAGAAAAGGACCAUAGGUAGCUAUUCUUGCAAAAUGUACUUUCGGCAUCUCGUCGGGAUAUUUCUAUCUAUUUGGAUAAUAUUUUCAUAUUUUGAUUAAUUUUGGAAAAGCAGGGGUGGGCCUGAUGAGGGUUGCCUACGUAUCUCACAUACGGUGAGAAUCAAACCCGCGUAGUUCGGUAAGUUUCGAUGCAACAAAAAAAUAUAACUUAUUUUGAAAUGAAUUUUUUUUAAGAAAACUUUUGGCACAGUCUCGGGAUAUUUUGAAUACCGGAGUUUUUAGAAUCGGGUGAUUUUCUUUUCUUCUCACUCGAUUUUUCUCAAUUUUUUUCCCUAUUCUAGAAGUUGGUCAACAUGCAAGCCGAAAAAAAUAAAUGCACAAGUAGCACAUAAAAAUGCAUCAGGGUGGUCUUUUAAAUUGGGUGUACCUGUCCUAGACAGACUCAACCCCUGUGUUGAGUCCCUAAAGUCAAAUGCACGUGAUGCAAGCAACCUUACCUACUAGGGAUCCGACAUGAGGCUGUGUUAUUCUAAGUUAAAAACCUGGAUAUAUUGUUCUAGACCGGGCUUACCUGAGCGAACAACUCGGGGGAGGGGGGAACAUACUAGUAACCAAAAGAUCAUUCGACUUUGUAACUGAUCCGAUCCUCGUUCUAAAUUAAGUUAUGCCACUAACAGAAUAGAAGUCACGCCGGCGUGCACUUCCCAAAAGAUUUAUAAGACUCAGGGAAAAGAAGGGUUUUGUAACAAUUUAUAUAGAGUUUAAACAAUAUCAAAGCAGUAAAAAGCGGCAUUUAGCACAUUAGACUGCUACUAAGUCCGCAUGAUCUAACAACUUCAACCUUCAAACCACAAGAAAUUUAAUAAUUGAUGCCACACAUCACUCAUAAAUUGAACAAGAAUAUCUAUUAUUCUGAAGAAAGAAAAAGAAAAUGGAGAAGACAACAUGACAUUCAAAUAGCUCUAUCGUAAUAAGAUUUACAGCAGCACAAUCAGUAAUCACAAUUGAAAUAGAAUUCAUGUACCAUGAGAAAGCAAAUAGUGGAUAGAUUUGACAAAAAAUAAGAAAAUCACACAUAUUUGAUGCACAAAAUCUAAACAUAGGCAUAGCAAGAACAAAUCAUAUCCUUGAAUCUAUAUUUAGUAAUGAUUCAAACAAAUAGAUAGAUUACAUACCUAUCAACAAGAACAAUAAAAGAAAAGAUGACCAAACAAAAGCUAAACUUGAGAGCAAAUAGAGCUUGAUUGAACAAGACCAACUAAGCAGUAAUCAAUAACCCAUUGUGCUAAAAUUCAACAACUUCAAAAGCCAAAAAAUAUACCAGAAAAUAGUGAAGUUGAAGUAGCCUCCCUAUUUCCAUUUUCUCUAUUUAAGUAUUUAUGCCCUUUUCGAGAAUAAAUAUGCAAAAAUUAACGUGUAGUGUGUGAGGGGGUGUGAGGUCUCUUUUACAAAGUGUGAGAGUACAAGAUGAUAUAGGCAAUGAGAGAGAGAGAUUGAGGGAAUUUGACAGCAUUCCCUUAAAAUUAGAAAAUUGGCUUCUUUUAAAAAUAGAAAAAUGGACAAUUGUCCAGCUUUUCAGCAUUCCUUGUUAAUAAUUUUGGACAGCUAGUCCCUUUCUGGAAACCUCCCACAAACACCUAAAAAUUCAUAUCUUUACUUUUCAAUUAACCCCCCUUAAGGUUCUCUUUUUUACAAAUAGCCACCUUAAUUUUGAUCUUUCUGAUUCUCAAUGCCCUAAGUUUUUAUGUUCCCCUAGCUCCCUCAAGUUUCAAUUAUGACAGAUAAACAUUAAAAAAUAUAUGAAUAUAAACAAAAUAUUAAUCAACCAAACUAUUUAACAAUUAAUUGUUAAACUUAUGCAAUUACACUAAAUAAUACAAUUGAACUAACUGAUUAUGCACCUAAUUAAAGCGUUCAAACAAAAUAUAAUUCGACAGAAUUUAGGUAUCAAUUCGGUUAGAACAGGAGAGCAAGCAGAAAUGAUAAAAAAAAAAAGAUAAUAAUCCAUCAGUUAUUCAAACAAAAUCAUGCAAGUAACUAUUAAUUAAAUCAUGCACACACUGAAUCAAAUGAAAUUAAUUCCUAAUAUGCUAAAAAGUAAUAAGAACAUAUUAAAACUCAUGAAGCAAUAGUAAAGAUAAUGGAAAAUUACCUAAACAUAGCAAGAAAGAUCUUCUGACAGAAUUUGGUCGAACCGUCAAAUCUGAACGCCUUCAAAAUGGACCAAAAAUGACACUAAUCAAUUUUUUCUCGCUAAGAACAAUCAAUUAGCAUAAUUUUCGGUCAAAUCGAGUCUUGAAACUCAACCAAAAUCGAAGGAGGAAGGAAAAAUAGGGUCUUUUUUUCUUCUUUUUAGAUUCGAAAUUGGAGAAGUUUGGUGGAGGUUUUGGGAAAAUUGGUAAGGAAUUAGAGUUAAGGCGGAGUUGGAGAGAGUGUAGGGUGUGAGUUUGGGGUUGUUUGGACGGUGGCCUACGGUGGCAAGGGCUUAGAAAUCCUAGGGCGACUACGGUUUGGUGAGGGGAAGGAGAUACAUCGAAUGGGGAGAGUUCUGCGGUU
rnacentral:lncRNA from 1 species